rnacentral:rRNA from 1 species
GUGAACGCUGGCGGUAGGCCUAACACAUGCAAGUCGAACGGCAGCACAGUAAGAGCUUGCUCUUACGGGUGGCGAGUGGCGGACGGGUGAGGAAUACAUCGGAAUCUACUUUUUCGUGGGGGAUAACGUAGGGAAACUUACGCUAAUACCGCAUACGACCUACGGGUGAAAGCAGGGGAUCUUCGGACCUUGCGCGAUUGAAUGAGCCGAUGUCGGAUUAGCUAGUUGGCGGGGUAAAGGCCCACCAAGGCGACGAUCCGUAGCUGGUCUGAGAGGAUGAUCAGCCACACUGGAACUGGGACACGGUCCAGACUCCUACGGGAGGCAGCAGUGGGGAAUAUUGGACAAUGGGCGCAAGCCUGAUCCAGCCAUACCGCGUGGGUGAAGAAGGCCUUCGGGUUGUAAAGCCCUUUUGUUGGGAAAGAAAAGCAGCAGGUUAAUACCCCGCCGUUCUGACGGUACCCAAAGAAUAAGCACCGGCUAACUUCGUG